rnacentral:rRNA from 1 species
UUAAAAAUGAGAGUUUGAUCCUGGCUCAGGACGAACGCUGGCGGCGUGCCUAAUACAUGCAAGUCGAGCGAGCAAAGUUAAAGGAAUACUUCGGU